rnacentral:rRNA from 1 species
UGGGGGAUAUUGCACAAUGGGCGAAAGCCUGAUGCAGCGACGCCGCGUGGGGGAUGAAGGCCUUCGGGUUGUAAACUUCUUUUGCUCUGAACAAGGCAUGCCUUUGGGGUGUGUUGAGUGUAGGGGUUGAUUAGCGCCGGCUAACUACGUGCCAGCAGCCGCGGUAAUACGUAGGGCGCGAGCGUUGUCCGGAAUUAUUGGGCGUAAAGGGCUUGUAGGUGGCUGGUUGCGUCUGUCGUGAAAGCUCAUGGCUUAACUGUGGGGUUGCGGUGGGUACGGGCGGGCUUGAGUGCAGUAGGGGAGGCUGGAAUUCCUGGUGUAGCGGUGGAAUGCGCAGAUAUCAGGAGGAAUACCGGUGGCGAAGGCGGGUCUCUGGGCUGUUACUGACGCUGAGGAGCGAAAGCGUGGGGAGCGAACAGG